AUAUUUAAAGUCAUUGAUUUUAGUGUAGUAUUUGUUCUUAUUAGCUUAUUAUUGGAUAUGGGUUUUUUACGAGGUUGUUUUAUCAGACAGAUUUUUAGAGCAGGGAGUGGGAAUUGGGGCUUGCUUCUUCUGCUCUGCACAUCAGCCUGGUGUUAUAGUGCCCCCAGGAAUAGUGCCCUUAUU